ensembl:lncRNA
GGCAACAAAGUAUAGCAAAUGUGUUUUGCAGGGUAGGAGGAGUAGACGUCUGACGCUACAGGGACACUAUAAUUAAGUCAAGUUAAUGCACUGGAGUCUCAUGUGCAUCGAUCCACAGCCCGCUAAUGUCCCAGAGUGGCAUGACUUGUUAGGCUUAUUAGAUGCACACUUGGAACCACAGUAUGAUCUGAUUAAAUAAAAGAGCAUCCAUUCAACCUGCACACCUUGCUGUGUGACACAAGACAGUAGCAGCAACAGACACAAUGGUUUAUGAAGUCAGGCGAGUCACAGAAAUCUCCAGUUCUUUUUAUGGAGUAGAUAAUGGAGAUUGCAGUUACAAUUAGAAAGUUUGGGUGAAGCAUCAUCGAGGCUUUCAAGAGCCAGUUCAAAAAUCUUUUAUUGCUUUUCUAAGAAGCAGAGGCCAUCAGUCUUUCUACGAAUUACUUCCUCUAACUGUCCCCAAUAAAGAAAUUCAGGAACUCUUUGAAUAAGGAACUCCAGAAAAAAGUAAUACCCUUUACAAUAAGCCGUUACAGCAAAUGACUGUAAGCUGUUAAUGUUGCUAAUGUUACCCAGCUUUGUAAAAAAAAAAAAGAAGAAGAAGAAUAAGAAGAAGAAAAGAAAAAGAAAAAAAAUCUCCUGUGGGACAAAGGAUAUGCCAAAUAUUAAUUUAACAAGUUGUGCUUUGAAAAAUAGAGACGAGAAAAAGAGGAAAAAGCUUUAGAAAAAUGCUUUGUGAGGGUUUCUCUGCGGGGGAAAAACAAGCACACAACAGCCUCGAGAUUCAAUUUCAUCUUCCGUUUCUUUUCUCGGAGGUUCGUACAUUGUUUGCCUUGAAUCAAACAUCUCCCUUCCAAACAAGCUGCCGCUGGCUCACCCCCUUUGGCUCGCUCAUCCCUGUGUACGCACAUAUUCACUCCUCACCUCCAUCCUGUGGUUUUACCCAGAUAAAAUUGGAUAUGGCAUUACAUACCUUCUGUUAUUGCUUUUACAUUAACCUCGGCUCCUGAC